rnacentral:rRNA from 1 species
UACGGAGGGUGCGAGCGUUAAUCGGAAUUACUGGGCGUAAAGGGCGCGUAGGCGGCCUGCUAAGUCGAACGUGAAAUCCCUGGGCUCAACCCAGGAACUGCGUCCGAUACUGGUUGGCUUGAAUCCGGGAGAGGGAUGUGGAAUUCCAGGUGUAGCGGUGAAAUGCGUAGAUAUCUGGAGGAACACCGGUGGCGAAGGCGACAUCCUGGACCGGUAUUGACGCUGAGGCGCGAAAGCCAGGGGAGCAAACGGG